rnacentral:rRNA from 1 species
GACGAACGCUGGCGGCGUGCUUAACACAUGCAAGUCGAACGGAAAGGCCCUGCUUUUGUGGGGUGCUCGAGUGGCGAACGGGUGAGUAACACGUGAGUAACCUGCUCUUCACUUUGGGAUAACUUCAGGAAACUGGGGCUAAUACCGGAUAGGAUAUCCUGCUGCAUGGUGGGGGUUGGAAAGUUGCGGCGGGUGGGGAUGGACUCGCCGCUGAUGAGCUAGCUGGUGGGGGAGUGGUUGACCAAGGCAUUGACGGGUAGCCGGCAUGAGAGGGUGACCGGGGACAUUGGGACUGAGAUACGGCGCAGACUCCUAUGGGAGGCAGCAGUGGGAAAUAUUGUACAAUGGGCGGAAGCGUGAGGCAGAAACGCUGCGUGCGGGAUGACGGCCUUCGGGUUGUAAACCGCUUCCGCCUGUGACGAAGCGGUAGUGACGGUAAUGGGUAAAGAAGCACCGGCUAACUACGUG